rnacentral:pre_miRNA from 1 species
CUCGGGUUGCCGUGGAAGCAGGCCCGGCCCGCCCUCUAGCUGUCUGACAGCAAGACAGAGCCGAGGGAAGUAGGUCCGUUGGUCGGUCGGGAACGAGG